CAGCCGCCACGGUAAUACGAAGGGUGCAAGCGUUAAUCGGAAUUACUGGGCGUAAAGCGUGCGUAGGCGGUUUGUUAAGUCUGCUGUGAAAUCCCCGGGCUCAACCUGGGAAUGGCAGUGGAUACUGGCAAGCUAGAGUGUGUCAGAGGAUGGUGGAAUUCCCGGUGUAGCGGUGAAAUGCGUAGAGAUCGGGAGGAACAUCAGUGGCGAAGGCGGCCAUCUGGGACAACACUGACGCUGAGGCACGAAAGCGUGGGGAGCAAACAGGAUUAGAUACCCGUGUAGUCCCUGUCUCUUAUAA
rnacentral:rRNA from 1 species